GAGUUGAUGCCUGAGAGGUCAAUAGGGGUGGACUGUAAAUCCAUUAUAUUUAUUUAAAAUUCAUCGGUUCAAAUCCGAUUUAACUCA
rnacentral:tRNA from 1 species